UACGGGGGGGGCAAGCGGUGUUCGGAAUUACUGGGCGUAAAGGGCUCGUAGGUGGUCAACUAAGUCGGACGUGAAAUCCCUCGGCUUAACCGGGGAACUGCGUCCGAUACUGGAUGACUUGAGUUCGGGAGAGGGAUGCGGAAUUCCAGGUGUAGCGGUGAAAUGCGUAGAUAUCUGGAGGAACACCGGUGGCGAAGGCGGCAUCCUGGACCGACACUGACGCUGAGGAGCGAAAGCCAGGGGAGCAAACGGG
rnacentral:rRNA from 1 species